UACAGGGGGGGCAAGCGUUGUUCGGAAUUACUGGGCGUAAAGGCCAGUAGGCGGCCGAUUAAGUCCGACGUGAAAUCCCCAGGCUUAACCUGGGAACUGCGUCGGAUACUGAUGGGCUUGAAUUCGGGAGAGGGAUGCAGAAUUCCAGGUGUAGCGGUGAAAUGCGUAGAUAUCUGGAGGAAUACCGGUGGCGAAGGCGGCUUCCUGGGGCACCACUGACGCUGAGAAGCGAAAGCUAGGGGAGCAAACGGG
rnacentral:rRNA from 1 species